GGGCUCCUCUGUCCCGCCGGCCGCAGAGCGGGCAGAGCCGCGCGCGCGCCCCACCGCCACGCAGCUGCUUGCUGGCCGCGUCACCGCGCGACGUGGACGUCCGCGACCCCUUCGACUCGUCCUCUUGAGCGCCCCCGCGACCGACAUCGAGUUUCUUCGUUUCUGCGACCGAAAACGCCACGCCGAUGGAAUUCAUCUCGCUCCUCCCACCUCAGCCCCGUUGCUCUUUUCCUCUGCUCCGCAGCAUCCUUUAGCGUCGUAUAAGCCAGCUAAUACUCGCUUCCCUCGUCGGACUCGGCCAUGAGCCGGUUUCCCGUCACAGAGCUCCGUCAUGGCCGCCAUGGGAGCUUGCGCACGUGGCCAGGAGGCCAUAAACCUUCUCCGGCCAAGCCACACACACCAGCGCGAGCGCGCGAGCCUCAGGAUGCUCCCCAACGCUUUCUCUCACUGCCAUCAAGCGUCCACCGGCCGGAAAUGAGGUUUUCUCCGACAUCCUCUGCUCUGGAUUCGCGACCAGGGACUUCGCGCGACAAUUUGAUGUUCUCCAGGGGUCUAAUUGCAUAGACUGUGACUCAGGUGAAUAGUGCUAUAAGGACUUGUUUGUAG
rnacentral:lncRNA from 1 species